AUAUUGAAUACCCUGGGUUGUCUACUUUAAAAAAAAAAAAUAUGUACAUGUGGGGUGUUAUUCAGAGAUUUAUGACAUUUAAUAGUGUUACAAUGUCACUAUUGAUAAAUUUUAAAAAUUUAUGUUUUGAAACCGCAAUAUCCUACUUGUACCUAUAGCCCUAUAACUUGCAACAAAAAAAAGCAGAAAAGCACAUAAACACUGGGUAUUUUUAAACUCAGGACAAAAUUUUGAAUCUAUUUAGCAGUUUUUUUCAUUCGCUUUUGUAGAUGAGUGAAGGAAUUGAAACAGUUAAUCUGUUAGUAUUGUAAGUUGAAUUAUUUUGUAAAUGUAGUAGCAAGCUCUUUUCAGAACUGCUUGCAAAACAUAACUGAAAGGAAGUCACAAGCUAUGACAGUUUCUAUGUAUCAGGAGACGCCUAACCACAAUGUACAUGUGUUAUUUUGUAAGAUUAGAUUAUUGAAUGAAACAGCAGAAACUACUUCCUCUUUUAUGUAUCUUGUGUAACUUCCUGUAACCAAUAUUCGUGACAAAUAUUGUAUAAGUACAGAGCAUUGUGAAUACAUUGUCAGAAGACUUUUG